CCUACGGGAGGCUGCAGUGAGGAAUAUUGGUCAAUGGGCGGAAGCCUGAACCAGCCAAGUAGCGUGCGGGAUGAAGGCCCUACGGGUCGUAAACCGCUUUUGCACGGGGGUAACACCCUCCACUUGUGGAGGUCUGCAGGUACCGUGCGAAUAAGGGCCGGCUAAUUCCGUGCAAGCAGCCGCGGUAAUACGGAAGGCCCGAGCGUUAUCCGGAUUCAUUGGGCUUAAAGGGAGCGUAGGCGGGCGUUCAAGUCAGCUGUAAAAUCGCGCGGCUCACACGCGCCCCGCAGUUGAAACUGGGCGCCUUGAGUUCACAACAGGCAGGCGGAAUUCGUGGUGUAGCGGUGAAAUGCAUAGAUAUCACGAGGAACCCCGAUUGCGAAGGCAGCCGGCCGGGGUGCGACUGACGCUGAGGCUCGAAGGUGCGGGUAUCAAACAGGAUUAGAUACCCGAGUAGUC
rnacentral:rRNA from 1 species